rnacentral:rRNA from 2 species
UAACAAGGUUUCUGUAGGUGAACCUGCAGAAGGAUCAUU